AUGGUAGCUGUGAUACUCCCCAUGCACUGGCAGACAAAGAACUGCAACAUGUCUUCUCUCCCACCUCCCAAAAUGCUUCUGAGGAACUAUUCAGCAGAAGUUGGAACAAUCAAGCAAACAGCCAGGGUCGGCUUCAGCAGGGUGGUGGAAGAUGUAAUACCACUGCUGGUCACACAGAGGAACAAGCUCUCACAACAGAAGUUAAACACCACCUAUUCAACGGCAACUUCAUGUUGUAUUUUAUGAACUCCCUGGGAUCCGAGAUAAUUUUUAUCACCACAAUGAAGUCUGAAAGAAACAAAACUACUGCCUUCUGAGAAGAUUUGCAAAACAUGAGUAGGUUUUUUACAGUGCAUUACAUUUCACUUUCAUAUCUUGCUAGCAAUGGGAUUUCUCUGACAUCAGUAGCCCAGGGGUUUGCCCCAGCAAAGCACUUGAAUCCUUCCAGGAGGUCCAUGACCUGUCGACUUGCAGGGUGCUGAGUUGCCUGCACUGCUGGUAACUUAGCCAGCUGUGGAAUACGCUGCAGAGCUGGAGCCAUGAGUAGGAGGAGUACCGAAGAACAACACAGAACUGUGAAGAACAUGUUUUUCAAAAAGCCUUUGGGUAUUGAUCAUAGCUACAGGAAGUCAAUCUUGCUAUGGUGCUAAAAGACACUUGAGAAAAGAUAUGUGGCUAGUAAGUUAAAUAAUGCAAAUACAAUCCCUUGCCCUGAAUCAGAUAUCAGCUGUUGAGUAUGGCUUUACACUUGGUAUGUCCAGUGAUGGAAUGAGGUGGAGUGUAUUAUUCAAUGUUCACAAAGUGCUUAUCAGUGAAAAACCAUCACUCAUUGAUGACCUGUUCUAAAAAACAAAACAAAACAAAAAACUCAUCUAACAGCAUUAUGAUUCCUAUGUAAUAACUUUGUGCAACUGUAAAUAACAACAGAUGCUUUCAUUUGUUUAUAACAUUAUGUAUUAAUUUACUUUUCAAGCUUCACAACUUCAUUUCUCAAUGACACACACACAUAAAAUAAUGUAGUGUUAUUGGGACACAAACUCACUACAAAGUUCAUUUUAAAAUUGAAAAAAUAAAAACACAAAAUAUUCAGUUAUUAGUUAUAUC
rnacentral:lncRNA from 1 species